rnacentral:rRNA from 1 species
AGUGAACGCUGGCGGUAGGCCUAACACAUGCAAGUCGAACGGCAGCACAGUAAGAGCUUGCUCUUACGGGUGGCGAGUGGCGGACGGGUGAGGAAUACAUCGGAAUCUACUUUUUCGUGGGGGAUAACGUAGGGAAACUUACGCUAAUACCGCAUACGACCUACGGGGGAAAGCAGGGGAUCUUCGGACCUUGCGCGAUUGAAUGAGCCGAUGUCGGAUUAGCUAGUUGGCGGGGUAAAGGCCCACCAAGGCGACGAUCCGUAGCUGGUCUGAGAGGAUGAUCAGCCACACUGGAACUGAGACACGGUCCAGACUCCUACGGGAGGCAGCAGUGGGGAAUAUUGGACAAUGGGCGCAAGCCUGAUCCAGCCAUCCCGCGUGGGUGAAGAAGGCCUUCGGGUUGUAAAGCCCUUUUGUUGGGAAAGAAAAGCAGCAGGUUAAUACCCCGCUGUUCUGACGGUACCCAAAGAAUAAGCACCGGCUAACUUCGUG